CCCUGAUCCACCCUAUCCAUCCAAAAAUACAGUCAAAAACAGACCUUUGGGAAGGGCAGCAUUAAACACAGAUGUCUUCAUGAAGGCCUCUCCAGAGCCUUUUGCCUUUGAAGAGAAGUGAGGCACGCAGGACUUUCCAAACUUACUGGUCCAUGGAAUUGUUUUUAGAAGCAUCCCGAAAGGCAAACUUUCAGAAUUCCAUGGACCAAUAAAACACGGGAAAUGCAGUGUUAGGGUGUGGUAGCAACACUCCGAUUAUACCCACAAUCAAGGUCUGGUCUGAGAGCCACUCUGUCAUUUUCAAGGAACUUUAAUGUAUCUGUUCUCCACCAUCAUGGGUUGCUUUAAUUUGAUACACUCUUGGAAUGCUGGGAGCACUUGCCUGGAAUUUCAGCCUGCCAUCACUGUUGGUGACAGCCUCAUAAAUGGUUUCCCGAAGUCCCAUUUGGCUAGUCUAAUUUACCCAACCUCCCCAUGCACUCUUACCAAACUGGCAGACCCUCACAAGCUCAUCUCCUCACCAUGCCCCGUUAUCAGUAAAGGGAGAAGGAGAGGAGGAGUAUUUCUCCCUAUAGGACAACGGCCUGAAUUCCAACAGCCUCCCCUUCCCCAAUUUCUUUCUGCCUUCGUGUGUAUAAGUUGCUGCCCUCGUCUUUCGGUUGGAAGUUUCUAACAUUUUCUGCAGGAGAGUCACAAAAGCAAGCCUUUAGGCAGCCCCUCCGGAGCCUGGCCCACAUUGUCCUUUUCAAGACCUCCAGCUCUGAGUUUGUGACUCCCCACUGUGGCUGCAGCAUAAGUUGCCACACAGAGGAGAUGCCCACCGAGGGUGGAUAUUUUGGCCUGAUCUCAAACAUCUGUCAUUUGCUGUUGUAAGAUCUGAAAGUCUGGGAUGGCCUACAUUCCUGAUUCUAUAUUUCAAGUGGAAUAGUGUGCAAAUGCUCAGUAUCCAAAAUAAAUGGGAUAUCAGCUUUGUCUCUGGCAUUAACCAACUCAUUAAAUAUAAAAUAAACACAAGUAAAUGGCCUUUAAAUCUCACUGACAGAAAGCUUGGCAACUACUCUGAGAUUCUAGAGGUCACUGGAACUUCUCUCUUCAAACAGGAAUCUUCCUCACACUGUGAGGCACAGAAGGACAGGUCUGCCCAGUGAGGAGGGUUUCUGGGUGCUCCCUUCCACGUGGGUGCUGCCCUGCAGAGCUAGCUACCCCGAGAGCCUGUCCAUGGAGAAUGAUGGUUACUGCCCGGACGGGGCACAGAGAAGUGGCUGUUAGUUCUUACAAGUGGUUAGAAAUUCAGGACUAAGGCUUUCACUUGCCACUAAUUAUAAAUACCUAGGAAGAGCCACCAAACCUUGGGUUUCUGAUUGCUCCCUACCUAUUGGCUAUUCCCAGAGAGCCCAUAUUCACAUGGUUUCCUAAAUCCUGUGUACACUCACUCUCCCACGGGUCCCCCGGUCCCAUUAGUAAUGCUACUUGCUGAACACUUCGCUUUGUCUCAAUCUAUCUGUAGUUUCAACAUCAACUGGACUUGUUGGGGAAGGUGAUGGCCCAGGUUCUCUGGAAAAUUGAUGUAAUUAUUCACCUCAUGCCAAGCAUGCAGAAAACAAACUGUAAUAAUUCACCAACCAUAAAACAAGCACAUGCACCUCUUUGCUCAGAACUUUACUUCAGGGCUCAGCUAGAUUUCAGCGAUUACUGACCUCUUUUAUAAAAUCAAAGUGAAAAAUGUGCAGCUUUUGGUAAAAAGCAUGUUGACUUGAUAGUCCUUCAAACAUGGGUGCUUGCCUGGGAGGCUGUGGGUGAGGAGGUCCAUUAUGCAGAAGACCCAGCUGUGGUCAGGUGUCAGAAUUACUGGCUUUGCCCAUUCACCUCAGUCAGCUUUCUUUUUUUUUCCUGUUUCUUUUUUAGAGAUAGGGUCUCACUCUAUCACUCAGGCUGGAGUGUAGUGGUGCAAUCAUAACUCACUGCAGCCUCAAUCUCCCGCUCCUGGGCUCAACCAAUCCUUCUACCUCAUCCUCCCGAGUAGCCAUAGCCAGGACUGCAGGCACACACCACCACACCGAGUGCAUUUUAAAAACAUUUUGUAGCGACAGGAUCCCAUUAUAUUUUCUGGGCUGGUCUCAAACUCCUGGGCUCAAGCCAUUCUCCCACCUUGGCCUCCCAAAGUGCUGGAAUUACAGGCAUGAGCCCCUGUGCCCAGCCUCAGUCAGCUUUCACAGUCUAACUUUGUGCCAAGAAGUUAGUAAGAUCUGAAACUAGUCAAAGUAGCUUCCAUUUAUUCACAGUUUUAAAAACAUUUUUCAAGUUUAGUCAACUUCCCAAUAU
rnacentral:lncRNA from 1 species